rnacentral:tRNA from 1 species
GCCUUCGUGGCUUAGUGGUCAGCACGUUCGACGCGUAACCGAGAGGUCAGGGGUUCAAUUCCCAGCGAAGGCA